CAGGAAAAUGAGAAAAUCAGAGAAAGAUUCCUGGAGUACUACAACCACACAACGCUGCAGUGAAUUCCCAUCUGUGAUCGCAGAUUUACGGAGCGUAAGGUUGUUUGUCGUGAGCUCGGCUACGAUCCUCUUGAUGUGUUUAUUGGACACGAUCGGAGAAUCGUAUUCCAAAUAAAUCCGCUGACAAGGAUUUGGACCUGCGUUGAGCCGAUGGAGUGUCACGGUGAUGAGUAGCGACUGGACGAGUGCCCUGAGCGAUUGAAUGGACAAUUAUACGAGUAUUGUUAUUAGCUGAAAUGGAGAACCGGAGGAGAGAAACUACUAGGGAGGUGUACGAUUUGCUAAUCCAGAUUUUGAGACAAGUUUGUACGAAUACCGAAUUCAUGAAGCAGCAACUCAUUCUACGGCAAAACUGAUCGAAAGUGUGCUGGAAUGUUGCACGGAGAAAAGUCUUCGGUGGCGCAAAUUAUUUCGAAGAAUCCUAGUAUAAGCUUCGUUACGAUCAGAAACUGCUCAUCAUGCAUAUAAUUUGUUCUCGAUGAUGGAAACCUGCGAUACCGACAAGGAAGUCUGGAGGAACGUUUUCUAGUGUACUACAAAUACAACAAUCCAGCGAACUGGAUUGUUAAAAUAUUCAGCCUACCGUGCUAAACCAACUUAGAUUCCGGUUACUGCAGUCUAACCUGAAUACGGUUGACGGGAUAUGAUUCAACUUUUGGACGGUGACAUCUAUAUCUCCGCAAGGGUGAUAGGAGUGAUCGAUGCAACUUCGGAAAAUCAAAAGAUAUGAUGGAGCACGGGCUCGGCACGCUGCCAAUUUCGGUUAUUGGAUUCAAUCGGGAUACUCAGCAUAAUAUCUUCAAUUCGGAAAUCAAGGAAUGUGUCGGGAGUGCUCUUCACUACGUGACUGUUGAUGAAGUGUCCCCAACGUUGAAAAUCGAAUGCAAUCGAUUCAUUAGAAACUGUUGCCAGUUUUACGUAUGUCUCUUCCUGCGAUGCUACGAUUCGAGCUGACGUACAGAAUAUGUAGACGUUAUAUUUCAGGAAUAACCUCGUCCAAGAAAAUCAAGGGAAUUUAUACGAGCCGAUUCCCGAGGGUCGGCCACGUCUCUUCGAGGAUGGGUUCAUAAUAAGUUGUGUGUGAAGAAUCGAAACCGCGCGUUGUACAUUGAGGGUUGACAAUCAUCUCCGUAUCAGGAAGUUACCGUACACAAAUAACUACAUAAUUCAGAACGAAGCGGCCUUCCAGGAUAUAGUGAUACUUCGGCAAGUAGUGUCCAUCUUUAUGUUGAACUAUGUUCACAGCAACAAAGACAGCAGGGUUGUCUAGGUAUCUGGGUUCGACCGGGUACGGUCGACCAUUUAUCAGAUCACGUCUCACAACGGUUUUCAUGAGUAAGGUUGUAUGGGAAAAAAUAAGGAUGUCAAUCCAAUGCAUUUUUAAUUACGUUGCAACCGAUUGGACUGGAAGAGCUACUAUUGUUGCUGGGACUGCUGGACAGCCCUACUAUUUAAGAAUCCUGAUAAUAACUACGAAAUGAUCACUGUGAAUCGAUCCAUGUAAGUUUGUCCUUACUCUUUUAGAUGUAUUCAAUAUUAUUUCACUUGAAUUCAAUUAUUUCUACAAAUAGUUUAAUUAAAUCAACUUAAUGGGUGUGUCAAUUGUAAAAUUAAGGUUUCCUCUUUUAAAAUUUAUUUGAUCUUUUACGGAACCUGGAUUUAUACCAAGCGGAGUUAUUCCUGAUAUAUUUUUCAAAAGCAUUUUUUUUUCAAAAAAUGGUUCGCGAAAAGACUUAACCAAACAUGAAAAGUUUGGUGACCUCGCGUUUCCAUAAGUUGAAAUUCGGGAAUUCUUCCUGAGUGCUGGUGAGCCGCUUAAUUGUGUGUGACCGUGUGUUCCCGUUGAAAUUGUUUUGCAACCAUAAUAGUAAAACUAAGUAACAUAUUUAGAAACAAUAAUUCCUUUAAAAUAUGUGCGGAAGUUUGAUGCAAUAGUGUUCAAACACUGAUUAUUAUAAGACGAAAUCUAAAUGUUAAAAAGCAAUAUUCUUCGAAUGUAUACUUUGUUUCUAUAGAUUCGGGCAGUUUGUCAGACCUGUCAGCAAAUAGCAUUAAAAGAAUAAUGUUGUUAUAUUCAAAUAUACUUAAUUCUUUAAUCAAAAAUACCAUUAGUUGUAACAACACGCUUAUAGUACAUAUUGAAUUAAUAAAACAUGGUUUAAACAAUCUA